UAGCUAAUACCGCAUAACGUCGCAAGACCAAAGAGGGGGACCUUCGGGCCUCUUGCCAUCGGAUGUGCCCAGAUGGGAUUAGCUAGUUGGUGGGGUAACGGCUCACCAAGGCGACGAUCCCUAGCUGGUCUGAGAGGAUGACCASCCACACUGGAACUGAUACACGGUCCAGACUCCUACGGGAGGCAGCAGUGGGGAAUAUUGCACAAUGGGCGCAAGCCUGAUGCASCCAUGCCGCGUGUAUGAAGAAGGCCUUCGGGUUGUAAAGUACUUUCAGCGGGGAGGAAGGGAGUAAAGUUAAUACCUUUACUCAUUGACGUUACCCGCAGAAGAAGCACCGGCUAACUCCGUGCCAGCAGCCGCGGUAAUACGGAGGGUGCAAGCGUUAAUCGGAAUUACUGGGCGCGUAAAGCGCACGCAGGCGGUUUUGUUAAGUCAGAAUGUGAAAUGCCCUGGCUCGACCUGGGAACUGCAUCUGAUACUGGCAAGCUUGAGUCUCGUAGAGGGGGGUAGAAUUCCAGGUGUAGCGGUGAAAUGCGUAGAGAUCUGGAGGAAUACCGGUGGCGAACGCGGCCCCCUGGACGAAGACUGACGCUCAGAUGCGAAGCGUGGGGAGCAACAGGAUUAGAURCCCUGGUAGUCCACCCCGUAAACGAUGUCGACUUGGAGGUUSUUGCCCUUGAGGCGUGGCUUCCUGAGCUAACGCGUUAAGUCGA
rnacentral:rRNA from 1 species